rnacentral:rRNA from 1 species
GACGUAGGGCGCGAGCGUGUCCGGAUUUAUUGGGCGUAAAGAGCUCGUAGGCGGCUUGUUGCGUCGACCGUGAAAACCCGGGGCUCAACUUCGGGCUUGCGGUCGAUACGGGCGGGCUAGAGUUCGGUAGGGGAGACUGGAAUUCCUGGUGUAGCGGUGAAAUGCGCAGAUAUCAGGAAGAACACCCGUGGCGAAAGGCGGCUCUCGUGGAACGCAACUGACGCUGAGACGCGAAAGCGUGGGGAGCAAACA